rnacentral:rRNA from 1 species
UUGACCUCGAAUCAGGUAGGAAUACCCGCUGAACUUAAGCAUAUCAAUAAGCGGAGGAAAAGAAACCAACAGGGAUUGCCCCAGUAACGGCGAGUGAAGCGGCAACAGCUCAAAUUUGAAAUCUGGCCCCCCGGGGCCCGAGUUGUAAUUUGCAGAGGAUGCUUUUGGCGAGGCGCCUUCCGAGUUCCCUGGAACGGGACGCCAUAGAGGGUGAGAGCCCCGUCUGGUUGGACGCCGAGCCUCUGUAAAGCUCCUUCGACGAGUCGAGUAGUUUGGGAAUGCUGCUCUAAAUGGGAGGUAUAUGUCUUCUAAAGCUAAAUACCGGCCAGAGACCGAUAGCGCACAAGUAGAGUGAUCGAAAGAUGAAAAGCACUUUGAAAAGAGGGUUAAAUAGUACGUGAAAUUGUUGAAAGGGAAGCGCUUGUGACCAGACUUGGGCCCGGCGGAUCACCCAGCGUUCUCGCUGGUGCACUCCGGCGCGGCCCAGGCCAGCAUCAGCUCGUCCCGGGGGACAAAGGCGGCGGGAAUGUGGCUCCUCCGGGAGUGUUAUAGCCCACCGCGCAAUGCCCUGGGGCGGGCUGAGGACCGCGCAUCUGCAUGGAUGCUGGCGUAAUGGUCAUCAGCGACCCGUCUUGAA